rnacentral:rRNA from 1 species
GACGAACGCUGGCGGCGUGCUUAACACAUGCAAGUCGAACGGAAAGGCCCCUUUGGGGGUACUCGAGUGGCGAACGGGUGAGUAACACGGGAGUAACCUGCCCUUUACUUCGGGAUAACUUCAGGAAACUGGGGCUAAUACCGGAUAGGAAUCCUUGCUGCAUGGUGGGGGUUGGAAAGCUUCGGCGGUUUUGGAUGGACUCGCGGCUUAUCAGCUUGUUGGUGGGGUAGUGGCUUACCAAGGCUUUGACGGGUAGCCGGCCUGAGAGGGCGACCGGCCACAUAGGGACUGAGGUGCGGCCGAGACUCCUACGGGAGGAAGAAGUGGGGAAGCUUGCACAAUGGGCGGCAGGCGGAUGCAGCAACGCCGCGUGUGGGAUGACGGCCUUGGGGUUGUAAACCGCCUUCAGCAGGGGAGAAGCUUGUGGUGACGGUACCUGAAGAAGAAGCACCGGCUAACUACGUG